UGAGGCGUAGCCAAGCGGUAAGGCAUCGGCCUUUGGAGCCGACAUCCCUGGUUCGAAUCCAGGCGCCUCAGCCA
rnacentral:tRNA from 1 species